CCGCCCCUCGGGCUCGUUCGGCUCCGCUCGGGAAUCUCCGGCACCGCCCCUCGGGCGCGUUCGGCUCCACUCGGCUAUUUCCGGCGCUAGCCCCCCUUUCCCCACCCACAUCAAAACGGGGAUGUGUGGAAAUCUUUCCUCGCCACAGCGGCCCCUGCAGCCCAGGGACCAUGCACCUGCCCCCCCCCUACAACGUCCCCCCAGUUGGCGGGGGGUGGGUGAGGUUUUUGACUCCCAAUAUAUAUUUCUAUUAGGUGUAUUGCGGUAGUCCUGGGAGCUAGGCGCUGUUCAUUGUUCAUUCGGUGCAUUACGGUAGCGGCCAAUCAUGGGGGGUGUAGUGACCGUGCCUGUCGUGGCUGGCGGGAUUCUACUGGCCAUGGGGCUGGCUCCGCUGCUCAAUUGGGAUGGGACGGGGGGCGCCCCUUCGAGCUGCAGGAGGCCAUCCGGGAGCUGCAGAGUGAGAACGCCCAGCUGCAGGGCCGGGUUCAAAACCUGAGCCAGGCCCUGGGCGAGCUGCGUCUGCUCGUCUGGAACCGCUCGCGGGAUUCAGGAGCUGCGCCCGAGCACCUACUCCAUGACCACCUGCCCUGCCGGCCGGACCCGCCCCACGGCCGCGGCGCUGCCCCCCAACUCCACGCCCCCUGCCUAGGGCUGCUGGGGGCGCUGGCCCUGCGCAGCCCCCUCCUGCUGCUGGCGGGGGACUGAGACACCGCGUGCCCCUGGCUGUGUGUGUGGGGGGGACGACGACUGACCCCCCCCCCCUGUUAGAAGCCUGAGGAGCAAAGAACAAUGAGGGGAGGGGCUGGACUUGGGACAGAUUUGGGGUGGCAAAUCCCCCCUCACCCUACAACCCUGCAAAAAUAAACAGCCUGAGGCAACAUGGAUGA